UCUAGGUCUGGAAGCCACAUGAAGUUCCCAGGACUCAACGCCUUCUCUCACCUGUCACACUGCCCAUGCUGCUGUGGGUUCACCUAUGUGUGAACCUCAUAGACGCCAACUGUCUGAUGAGAUUGCUUCCAACUGUCUCUCUUCAUGGAGGCUGUCAGUAGGCCAGGCACCCAACCAGGCCUGGCUCUGCCCCUGAUGCUGCACUUUGGAACUCCACUGCCCCAACCACAUGCCCCACGGAAUGGUCUGCUCGGGUGUGGCUGUUCUUUAUUGUCUUUCUGUCAUUGCCUUUGAUGCUCAAAGUCUAAUCUCCUCUGAUAGGAAUGAAUGACCUCCAGUCAGAAGUUCAGGAAUCAUGGGAUCUACCUGCAGCUUUUCUUGGAAGCCUUACAAUUGACAGCCCUUUUCUCACCGUACACUGGAGGCAUCCGCUGAGACGGCCCGCAGGACAAAGGCAAACUUUGCGGGGCGUUUGUCAUCUGCUGAAGCACCCACUUUCUCUGAGCAUUUGAGCUGUUGCUAAAGUCUUCUUGGUGAGUAACCAUGAUAAACAAUCUUAUAUAAAUCAUUUUUAAAAUGUGCAGUUUUGGGAGAAUGAGAUUAUAUUUCCAAAUUAUGAUUACUUGGUCAAGAUGCAAAACAAUUUCAUAACGUUUUCAAAUAUUGCCAGAUUGUUUUCCGAAAAGGAAUACUACCUUAUACCUUACCUUACCAAUGACUGUCUUGGUAUUUAUCCCUACACAGACCCA
rnacentral:lncRNA from 1 species